rnacentral:rRNA from 1 species
UACGGAGGGUGCGAGCGUUGUCCGGAAUCAUUGGGCGUAAAGGGCGCGUAGGUGGCCCGGUCAGUUCGUGGUGAAAGCGCGGGGCUCAACCCUGCGUCGGCCAUGAAUACUGCCGCGGCUGGAGCACUGUAGAGGCAGGCGGAAUUCCGGGUGUAGCGGUGGAAUGGCGUAGAGAUCCGGAAGAACACCGGUGGCGAAGGCGGCCUGCUGGGCAGUUGCUGGACACUGAGGCGCGACAGCGUGGGGAGCAAACAGGG